rnacentral:rRNA from 1 species
AGAGUUUGAUCAUGGCUCAGAUUGAACGCUGGCGGCAUGCUUAACAUAUGCAAGUCGAACGGAAACGACAAGAGCUUGCUCUUGGGCGUCGAGUGGCGGACGGGUGAGUAACGCGUGGGAACAUGCCUAUUAGUUGGGGACAACCUGUGGAAACGCAGGCUAAUACCGAAUACGUACUAAGGUAUAAAGGUGGCCACUCCUUGGAAGCUAUCGCUAAUAGAUUGGCCCGCGCUGGAUUAGCUGGUUGGUGGGGUAAAGGCCCACCAAGGCGACGAUCCAUAGCUGGUUUGAGAGGAUGAUCAGCCACACUGGGACUGAGACACGGCCCAGACUCCUACGGGAGGCAGCAGUGGGGAAUAUUGGACAAUGGGGGCAACCCUGAUCCAGCAAUGCCGCGUGUGUGAAGAAGGCCUGAGGGUUGUAAAGCACUUUCCAUAGUGAAGAAGGUUAAAAGGUUAAUAACCUUUUAAAUUGACGUUAACUAUAGAAGAAGCACCGGCUAACUCUGUGGCAGCAGCCGCGGUAAUACAGAGGGUGCAAGGCGUUAAUCGGGAAUUACCUGGGC